CAGCAGCCGCGGGAAUACCGAGGGUGCGAGCGUUAAUCGGAUUUACUGGGCGUAAAGCGUGCGUAGGCGGCUAAUUGAGUCGGAUGUGAAAUCCCCGAGCUUAACUUGGGAAUUGCAUUCGAUACUGGUUAGCUAGAGUGUGGGAGAGGAUGGUAGAAUUCCAGGUGUAGCGGUGAAAUGCGUAGAGAUCUGGAGGAAUACCGAUGGCGAAGGCAGCCAUCUGGCCUAAUACUGACGCUGAGGUACGAAAGCAUGGGGAGCAAACAGGAUUAGAUACCCGUGUAGUCCCUGUCUCUUAUAC
rnacentral:rRNA from 1 species